CGUAGGUGGCAAGCGUUGUCCGGAAUUAUUGGGCGUAAAGCGCGCGCAGGCGGUCCUUUAAGUCUGAUGUGAAAGCCCACGGCUCAACCGUGGAGGGUCAUUGGAAACUGGGGGACUUGAGUACAGAAGAGAAGAGUGGAAUUCCACGUGUAGCGGUGAAAUGCGUAGAGAUGUGGAGGAACACCAGUGGCGAAGGCGACUCUUUGGUCUGUAACUGACGCUGAGGCGCGAAAGCGUGGGGAGCAAACAGGAUUAGAUACCCUCGUAGUCCACGCCGUAAACGAUGAGUGCUAAGUGUUAGAGGGUUUCCGCCCUUUAGUGCUGCAGCAAACGCAUUAAGCACUCCGCCUGGGGAGUACGGCCGCAAGGCUG
rnacentral:rRNA from 1 species